rnacentral:sRNA from 1 species
GGCUAUGCGAUCUCCGCUCCAGGAGGGA